GAUGAACGCUGGCGGCGUGCCUAAUACAUGCAAGUCGAGCGAACGGACGAGAAGCUUGCUUCUCUGAUGUUAGCGGCGGACGGGUGAGUAACACGUGGAUAACCUACCUAUAAGACUGGGAUAACUUCGGGAAACCGGAGCUAAUACCGGAUGAUAUUUUGAACCGCAUGGUUCAAAAGUGAAAGACGGUCUUGCUGUCACUUAUAGAUGGAUCCGCGCUGCACUAGCUAGUUGGUAAGGUAACGGCUUACCAAGGCAACGAUGCAUAGCCGACCUGAGAGGGUGAUCGGCCACACUGGAACUGAGACACGGUCCAGACUCCUACAGGAGGCAGCAGUAGGGAAUCUUCCGCAAUGGGCGAAAGCCUGACGGAGCAACGCCGCGUGAGUGAUGAAGGUCUUCGGAUCGUAAAACUCUGUUAUUAGGGAAGAACAUAUGUGUAAGUAACUGUGCACAUCUUGACGGUACCUAAUCAGAAAGCCACGGCUAACUACGUG
rnacentral:rRNA from 1 species